GUCCUCCCGGGGCGCCCGCGUCGUGGGCCCAGGCUCGGGCCCCUCCUGGAGAGCCCUUUCCACAUUGCAGGGCAGGGGAAGCCCAGAGCCCUUGCGGAGGCGCCGCUUACGUCCCGGAGUUCCCGCUUUCUGCUCCUUCCCAUCCACGGAGGCUGGCGGGGAGGGCCUGGGACCCAUUUUAGUUUUCAGUUUUGUCACGAGCCGGAGGGUGACAGCACAUACGAGCGCAAGAAACCCUUUUUCUAAAUCUUCCAGCGGAAACGCCAGGGGCUGCCGGACCGCCUCGGAGACGCCAGGCGGGAACCCAGAGCACCCCCGCCGCGUCCUGCAUUGCAGCAGCUGGGACCACGCCCAUACCGCGCGGGGCACGAGGCGACCGGAGGCGUGCGGGAACCCGGCCCUUUCUUUCUCUACAUGCUGGGUGGUGGCGUGGGGCGCAGUUGGGGCUGCGGGCCACUUAGGAAGUGAUCGCGCUGUACCCUCGCCUCGGAGGGGAAGCCCGGCCCCAUCCUACAGCUCACAGGCAGAACGACCCCCGAGGGCGCUCCAGGCGACCCCCUCUGCCAGGCUCCAUUUAAAACAGAAACCGGAGGGGAUGAAAAGCUCACUAUCUUCCGGAUGGAGGUUCCUACCGCCAUGUCCCUUCCUCCUCCGCCCCACCCGGCAAGGACCCCGGGGCUGCCUUGCCGGCUCACGCUGCCCCGCAGGUACCCCUGCCCUGCCGCUCCCGGGCACCAUCUUCGACCCAGUUCUCCCGAUCGCUUCCCCGCUCUUCUCCCCGGUUCUUCCCAUCGCUUCCCCAUCUUUCCCCGGGUCCUCCCAUUGCUCCCCCUCUCUUCUGCCCUGUCUCCCCAUCCCCUUCGCCCUCUUCUCCCUCUCUCCGUCCGUCCCUCCCUGGCCGCCUGGAGGGGGGCGCGCACCUUGAGCAUCCCCGCCGCUGGUCAGCACGCCGAUGGCCUUGCCGGCCCCGGAGAGGUGCUCCGGGACCUUUCGUAAGGAGCCCUUGCGGGCCCGGGAGUCGUCCGCGUACACGGCGAGGAGGCCGAGGGGAGUCGCUAGUCCGCCUGCAUGGCAGGCAAUGGGGACCCCGCCCGCGCGCACCGGACUCCGAACUGCUGCCCCGCCCGCGCCCCCGCCCGGCGCCAGCGCCACUGGGCAGUGACGGGCGGGGCCCGAGCGCGCGGGAGGGGCUGCGGGGGCGGGGUGGCGGGUCGGGGCAGGAGCAGGGAAAGGGG
rnacentral:lncRNA from 1 species